AAAGCGUGCGCAGGCGGUUAUAUAAGACAGAUGUGAAAUCCCCGGGCUCAACCUGGGACCUGCAUUUGUGACUGUAUAGCUAGAGUACGGUAGAGGGGGAUGGAAUUCCGCGUGUAGCAGUGAAAUGCGUAGAUAUGCGGAGGAACACCGAUGGCGAAGGCAAUCCCCUGGACCUGUACUGACGCUCAUGCACGAAAGCGUGGGGAGCAAACAGGAUUAGAUACCCGAGU
rnacentral:rRNA from 1 species